rnacentral:lncRNA from 1 species
AGAGCAGCAGCUCAGGUUGUCCCCGUUUCCCCUCCCCCUUUCCCUUUUCCGGCUGACUUCCCGGGCCCUUCACUGCACAGUCCUGGUCCUGCCACGUCCCAGAAACAAGAAGAAGAAAACCCUGCGGAGGAAACCGGCGAGGAGAAGCAGGAUACACAGGAGAAAGAAGGUAUUCUUCCUGAGAAGGCUGAGGAGGCAAAGCUAAGGCCAAAUAUCCAAGCUUAGGACAAAAGCCUGGAAGCUCCGACUUCCUCAUGAAGAGAUGCCAGAAAGGGCAAACGUACUUUGACUCAGGAGAGUACAACGUGGCCAAAACCAAGAUAAAGAACAAGCAGCUACCGAGUGCAGGAGCAGACAAGAACCUGGUGACCGGUGACCACAUCCCCACCCUACAGGA